GUCCCUUGGCAAUGGACAAAUGGGUACUUUAUUGGUGGCCUUGUUCUUAUAUCAGUCAGGGGCAGAACAGAUGGCAGUCCUUUGCUUAUCCUAGCUUGAUGCCUGGCUUAGUACUCAAUGCUGUCUUAUGCCUAGGACUCAUAA